GGGUUGGGACCAAGCUAAUUCCCUGAAGUCACCAGCAGGAGGCGCCACAGGGCUGUUGCACUGCCCCGAGCUCCAUCUUCAGUCGAGGAUGGUUGAGAAGAAACUGAGGGGGUUGGGCUGUGCGCACACUGAACAAGACUCUAACGGUGCCGCAAGACAGCUACGGCACACGCAUGGCGCGACCAGUCACUUCUACAGAAAAUCUCUGAUGAACAGCGCUGAAUUGGAGUACCUACAGGGGCCGCACUUGAUGAAGAACUAGAAGUAAAGGGGGUUUGCAACCUGUACUCUGAGAGUUUUUCUGCAGGAAAUCAGAACAUAAGGCAUUUCAGCAUACUGAG